rnacentral:rRNA from 1 species
GACGAACGCUGGCGGCGUGCUUAACACAUGCAAGUCGAACGUGAUUUUUGUGGAAAUUCUUUCGGGAAUGGAAAUGAAAUGAAAGUGGCGAACGGGUGAGUAACACGUGAGCAACCUACCUUACACAGGGGGAUAGCCGUUGGAAACGACGAUUAAUACCGCAUGAGACCACAGAAUCGUAUGAUAUAGGGGUCAAAGAUUUAUCGGUGUAAGAAGGGCUCGCGUCUGAUUAGCUAGUUGGAAGGGUAAAGGCCUACCAAGGCGACGAUCAGUAGCCGGUCUGAGAGGAUGAACGGCCACAUUGGAACUGAGACACGGUCCAAACUCCUACGGGAGGCAGCAGUGGGGAAUAUUGCACAAUGGGGGGAACCCUGAUGCAGCGACGCCGCGUGAGCGAAGAAGGUUUUCGAAUCGUAAAGCUCUGUCCUAGAAAAGAUAAGACGG